UACAUGGGGUGCAAACGUUGCUCGGAAUCAUUGGGCGUAAAGCGCGCGUAGGCGGUUACUUAAGUCGAAUGUGAAAGCCCUCGGCUUAACUGAGGAAGUGCAUCCGAAACUGAGUAGCUAGAGUACGAAAGAGGGUCGCGGAAUUCUCGGUGUAGAGGUGAAAUUCGUAGAUAUCGGGAGGAACACCGGUGGCGAAGGCGGCGACCUGGGUCGAGACUGACGCUGAGGCGCGAAAGCGUGGGGAGCAAACAGG
rnacentral:rRNA from 1 species